CCUUUGGUUGUGAAUUGUGGGUAACCAUGAUUCUACAGCUUCAACCCUUGAUUUUUGAGUACCUUUGUUUCCUUGGUAGGGCAACCUGCCAAUGGACCUUUUCAAACCGCUUGUAAUUGAAAUCAGCGUCAGAAAUCACGAAUUAUUA
rnacentral:misc_RNA from 1 species